rnacentral:rRNA from 1 species
GACGAACGCUGGCGGCGUGCUUAACACAUGCCAGUCGAACGGAAAGGCCCUGCUUUUGUGGGGUGCUCGAGUGGCGAACGGGUGAGUAACACGUGAGUAACCUGCCCUUGACUUUGGGAUAACUUCAGGAAACUGGGGCUAAUACCGGAUAGGAGCUCCUGCUGCAUGGUGGGGGUUGGAAAGUUUCGGCGGUUGGGGAUGGAUUCGCGGCUUAUCAGCUUGUUGGUGGGGUAGUGGCUUACCAAGGCUUUGACGGGUAGCCGGCCUGUGAGGGUGACCGGCCACAUUGGGACUGAGAUACGGCCCAGACUCCUACGGGAGGCAGCAGUGGGGAAUAUUGCACAAUGGGCGGAAGCCUGAUGCAGCAACGCCGCGUGCGGGAUGACGGCCUUCGGGUUGUAAACCGCUUUCGCCUGUGACGAAGCGUGAGUGACGGUAAUGGGUAAAGAAGCACCGGCUAACUACGUG